UGGCCUUGGGGCAGGUGGCCCUGGUCUUCAGGCAUGCAGCUCCAUGCAGAUCCAGGCGUGGUGGUGGCGGCUAAAGCUGUUUUGCUGGUGGGCUGAGCAUGGGAGGUGUUUUCUCUACUGCAGGGUCAGUUGCUGAGACCCUCGCCCAGGCCCAUGCCUGGCUGAGCAGAGGGGAGGCAGAAGCCCUCUGGCCUCCUUGUCUGAGCUGGACAGCCUCUGCAGGGCAGCCUCAGUGCCCAGCGGCUCCCUUGGCCCAACUCUUGCUCUGUCUGCAGCAUCCAUCAUGGCUCACCUUACCACGCUUCCAGUCCUGAAUCAAAUGCAAUCUGCCCCACUUGACUCAUCUUCCUGAGGCCCCUCGGCUGGCCCAGUCUGGCUGGGGUGCCCCACCCGGAGGCCUCUGCUCUCCCUGGGAAACACUGUGGGAGCCGGCGACAAUGGGCUUCUAUCUGGGGAGAAACCUGAGCUGGUUCAGCUUGCAUCCACAGCACAGCAUUCUCACAGCCACGCUGCGAAACCCGACCUGCCCACGCUGUUGGAGUCUUGCUGGCUUUGAAAAUGAGAAUGAGGGAAUGGCACCAACCCCGAAAGCUCGGACAGAACAUGGCUCCCUGGAUCUCUCGGAGAUUUCCUGAAGUCCCCUGGGCAGGUGACAGGCAGGAUCCUGGAGAUCUGCACUUGGAUUUGAACUGCAGGCUGCCUCCCUGACCACGGCACUCCUGCCGCAGUCUCACAGGUAGCACGUGCCCCAAGCAGCAGGCCUCACUGCCACUCAAACAUGCUUCCCAAACCCUGGACUAAAAAAACCACAGCGGGCUCCCAGGCAUGCAGGGUGGAGGGGAUGCAAAACCCAUUUCAUUUCCUACACUGUUGGCAUGUGCACCACCCUGAGUAGGGAGCGCUCCCUGGCCUUGCUGGCUUCCCAGGAGGGCAGCGGGCCCCAGGCAUCCUGGGGCUGAGCCCUGGAACAGGGCCUUCUCACUUUCCCAGGACUCCUCCUUCUUCCCAAGUCUGGGGUUCAGAACAGCCUGGUCCCAAGCUGUCAGGUCCCAAAUAUGGAUAGUUGGCAACAGAGCUGACCAGAGCUUCCCUAAGCACAACAAGGAAGGUCAGGUACACCCAGCAUUCUGCCUGGACCCCUCCAGGCCUGGGUGAGGUCCUGGUCUCAGGAGAGCCAGAGGGCAACCACACUCCCUUCACUGAGACCCAGGGCACACACCAUUGUCCUGUAGAUCUGACCUCCCUGAUCUCUGUAGGUCAAAGGACAGCCUGGGCAGGAGUCAGUCACCCACACCAUGAGGCCACAGCCGGUGGCCACUGUGACUGGGAGGGGACUGCUCUGUCCGUGCUUGGUCUAAAAUGUGUGUAAUAAACCUGUGAAUAAGGCGGGCUGACUGUAGUAU
rnacentral:lncRNA from 1 species